UGAACUCUCCCAGCCUCAGUUUCCAGCCUCACCUUUAAGGUGGGGGUAACGACAGCUCCUUUUUUCUACCCAAGCCUCCUCCUCCCUGGAGAGUUCCCUGUCUUUGAGUUCAGAGCUCCUCCAGGCUCUGCAACAGGCCAUCCUGUCCUCCCCCCAGCCCAGCGGAUUCUGCUUCCUUCCUCUCUCCACUCUGUCAUCUCCUCUCCUCUCCACGGCCACCUCCUACUUACGCCGCUUGCCUGCAGCCAGCCCGGGCGCCUCUGGCCUGGGUGAAGGAAGCAGUCUUCUCACGGGUCUCCCUGUCUCCUGCGCAUGCCCCCACCCCUCACUGUCUCUGCCCACAUCCAGGAUGAUCUUGUCAAUUGCAAGACAAUCAUGUCACUUCUCUGCUUGCAAACCCUCCCAAGACCAAGUCCCCACUCCUCCACUGCAUCCAAGCCUUCCCAUCUGGCCUUGGCCUUCAUUUCCCAUAGAUCGGGGCUUGUCCUUGAUGAUCUCCCUGGCCCCCAUCCAUGAGGUUGCUAUUCUUGCCACACUUCUUGCAGGCCCCUGAGACCACCUCCUCGGCAUCCUGCAGCUCUGGGCUUUGCACCUGCGUCUACUGUUCUGAAAUGUCCGUCUCCCACAUCCUGGGCCUGACUCACUCCCACUCAUCUUUACCUCAGGCAUCACCUCUGGGCCUUCAUCCUUUAUGCCUCAAUUUGUCUCCCUAUAACAGGGGUAUGAUCCCUUGUAACUGGAGAUGGUCUUAGGGUCUUAAUUGACUACAAGCAACUAAGUUAACUGAGACCAAAGAAGUCUAAAAUGCUAAUGAUGCCUUGGCUGCAUUAAUAGAGAUACAGAGUCCAAACAAGAGAGGUGAAUUAUUUGGCUCUUGUCAGACCUCCGUGACUUGUCCAACUGUUCUGUGGGCCUUGUGAUCAUUUCCUGUGCCUUGCUUUAGGAAGGAUAUUGACAAAGUGGAUCAUAUCAUUGAUACUUUCACCUCAGUUCACUGAAUUUGUUUGCCAUUCGUCAAACAUGUAUAUGCCAGGCACUACAGGUGUAUAGUCACAUUUAAUGCCAUAAAGCAUUAUGAUCUCCUUUGUACAGAUGAAGAGGAAGUCACAAUAAGUCAGGUAUUGUAAUGAUAAAAUAGCGCCUGUGGUAGGCAGAACAACAGCCCCUAAAGAUGUCCAUACUCUAAUCCCGGAACCUGUGAAUAUGUUACUUUAUAUGACAAAAGGGAAUUUACAGAGGGAGAAGAACCUUUCCCAGCUGUGGCCAGAGAGAGAUGUGACACCAGGGAAAGGAUCAGAGAGUGGCUGAAGACAGAGGGAGGGGCCAAGAGUCAAGGAACAUAAGUGACUUCGGGAAGAUGGAAAACGCAGGAAGCAGAUUCUCCCCUAAAGCCCCAGAAAAACAGCAUAGUCCUGCCUACUCCUUGAUUUUGACCCAGUGAGACCCAUGUCAGACUUCUGCCUAUGGAACUGUAAGACGAUAAAAAAUGUGUAUUGUUUUAAGCCACAA